rnacentral:rRNA from 1 species
UACGUAGGGUGCGAGCGUUAAUCGGAAUUACUGGGCGUAAAGCGUGCGCAGGCGGUUGUGCAAGACCGAUGUGAAAUCCCCGGGCUUAACCUGGGAAUGGCAUUGGUGACUGUACGGCUAGAGUGUGUCAGAGGGGGGUAGAAUUCCACGUGUAGCAGUGAAAUGCGUAGAGAUGUGGAGGAAUACCGAUGGCGAAGGCAGCCCCCUGGGAUAACACUGACGCUCAUGCACGAAAGCGUGGGGAGCAAACAGG